AUUGAACGCUGGCGGCAUGCCUUACACAUGCAAGACGAACGGCAGCACGGGUGCUUGCACCUGGUGGCGAGUGGCGAACGGGUGAGUAAUACAUCGGGACGUACCUUAUCGUGGGGGAUAACGCAGCGAAAGCUGUGCUAAUACCGCAUACGCCCUGAGGGGGAAAGCGGGGGAUCGCAAGACCUCGCGCGAUUAGAGCGGCCGAUGCCGGAUUAGCUUGUUGGGGGGGUAAAAGCCCACCAAGGCGACGAUCAGUAGCUGGUCUGAGAGGACGAUCAGCCACACUGGGACUGAGACACGGCCCAGACUCCUACGGGAGGCAGCAGUGGGGAAUUUUGGACAAUGGGGGCAACCCUGAUCCAGCAAUGCGGCGUGAGUGAAGAAGGCCUUCGGGUUGUAAAGCUCUUUUGUCAGGGAAGAAACACCGGCUCUAACACAGUCCGGGAAUGACGGUACCUGAAGAAUAAGCACCGGCUAACUACGUGCCAGCCGCCGCAGUAA
rnacentral:rRNA from 1 species